CUGUAUAAUUGUCAUUGUAUUCAUAGCCUUCGUCUCGACGUUGCCGUCUUACAUGCGUGAACUCCCUACUGAUAUACCCACAGGCACUGAUCAUGAUAAGGAAUUUGAUUUUCAUUUUAAAAGAUUUACGUCUUGUUGUACCAGUUUGGUAAGCAAGUACUAGUUAGUGUUGAGUUGGCAAGUUGAGUGAGAAGGGCAUAAUAUGCUAUUCAGUUGUACCAAGCGCCCUGGUUGUGCGUAUGCAGAUUAUCAACUGCGUCUAUAUUUUCUUUGCAGUGCUAAAAAUAGCUAAGAACACUAAGUGUCUGAAGAGCAUGCAGUCGAUGGAGAGCUGUGGGAUUUGGGGUAAGACAAUAAGAAAGCAGACUUUACCUGCCCUCCAGAUAUUGCAUGUUAUGCAAAGUCUUUUUAGGCCAGCUGCAAAGGGCCUAUCAUGAUCAUCACAAGUCGACUGUUGCGAGGUGAAGGGACCGAAAAUGCACAGAACAAAUUCUUAAAACCCCUUUUUUGGAAAGUUUAGGAUUUUAAGGCCACUUAAUAGCGGGCAGAAUAUAUUACUGAGGUGUUUGAAUACCAUUUCCAGCCACGCUUGCAGAGAUACUGACUCGACCAUGUAUACAGCUAGUUCAAUUAAAGUUAUCCAGAGAAAACCGCACAACGCGUCGACCUCUAAUUAAGCGCGAAAAGCAUUAUUAUGAGAUUGUUUAUACACACGUUAGGCUGUUAGCAUAUUCAUGCUAAUCAAGCGAAUUUAAUUUCCAAACGAGUCAAGCACAUCACACAAACAACUUUCAAAAAGUUUAAAUAUCCAAUGAAUUCUGUGUCAG